rnacentral:rRNA from 1 species
ACUUAAAUUGAAGAGUUUGAUCAUGGCUCAGAUUGAACGCUGGCGGCAGGCCUAACACAUGCAAGUCGAACGGUAACAGGAAGCAGCUUGCUGCUUUGCUGACGAGUGGCGGACGGGUGAGUAAUGUCUGGGAAACUGCCUGAUGGAGGGGGAUAACUACUGGAAACGGUGGCUAAUACCGCAUAACGUCGCAAGACCAAAGAGGGGGACCUUCGGGCCUCUUGCCAUCAGAUGUGCCCAGAUGGGAUUAGCUGGUAGGUGGGGUAACGGCUCACCUAGGCGACGAUCCCUAGCUGGUCUGAGAGGAUGACCAGCCACACUGGAACUGAGACACGGUCCAGACUCCUACGGGAGGCAGCAGUGGGGAAUAUUGCACAAUGGGCGCAAGCCUGAUGCAGCCAUGCCGCGUGUAUGAAGAAGGCCUUCGGGUUGUAAAGUACUUUCAGCGGGGAGGAAGGUGUUGUGGUUAAUAACCGCAGCAAUUGACGUUACCCGCAGAAGAAGCACCGGCUAACUCCGUGCCAGCAGCCGCGGUAAUACGGAGGGUGCAAGCGUUAAUCGGAAUUACUGGGCGUAAAGCGCACGCAGGCGGUCUGUCAAGUCGGAUGUGAAAUCCCCGGGCUCAACCUGGGAACUGCAUUCGAAACUGGCAGGCUUGAGUCUUGUAGAGGGGGGUAGAAUUCCAGGUGUAGCGGUGAAAUGCGUAGAGAUCUGGAGGAAUACCGGUGGCGAAGGCGGCCCCCUGGACAAAGACUGACGCUCAGGUGCGAAAGCGUGGGGAGCAAACAGGAUUAGAUACCCUGGUAGUCCACGCCGUAAACGAUGUCUACUUGGAGGCUGUGCCCUUGAGGCGUGGCUUCCGGAGCUAACGCGUUAAGUAGACCGCCUGGGGAGUACGGCCGCAAGGUUAAAACUCAAAUGAAUUGACGGGGGCCCGCACAAGCGGUGGAGCAUGUGGUUUAAUUCGAUGCAACGCGAAGAACCUUACCUGGUCUUGACAUCCACGGAAGAAUCCAGAGAUGGAUUUGUGCCUUCGGGAACCGUGAGACAGGUGCUGCAUGGCUGUCGUCAGCUCGUGUUGUGAAAUGUUGGGUUAAGUCCCGCAACGAGCGCAACCCUUAUCCUUUGUUGCCAGCGGUCCGGCCGGGAACUCAAAGGAGACUGCCAGUGAUAAACUGGAGGAAGGUGGGGAUGACGUCAAGUCAUCAUGGCCCUUACGACCAGGGCUACACACGUGCUACAAUGGCGCAUACAAAGAGAAGCGACCUCGCGAGAGCAAGCGGACCUCAUAAAGUGCGUCGUAGUCCGGAUUGGAGUCUGCAACUCGACUCCAUGAAGUCGGAAUCGCUAGUAAUCGUGGAUCAGAAUGCCACGGUGAAUACGUUCCCGGGCCUUGUACACACCGCCCGUCACACCAUGGGAGUGGGUUGCAAAAGAAGUAGGUAGCUUAACCUUCGGGAGGGCGCUUACCACUUUGUGAUUCAUGACUGGGGUGAAGUCGUAACAAGGUAACCGUAGGGGAACCUGCGGUUGGAUCACCUCCUUACCUGAAAGAA